GGGAUUGCAGUGGCAAAGCUAGGCUAGGUCUUGGAGGCUGGUGUAAGGCGAUGUGGGUGAAGGCAGGAGGCUGAUGGAAAGACUGGGGGGAAGAAAAGCCGAAAUGGAUUCACGGUGCCUUGGAUGAAGGACGAGAGGGGAACUGCAAGCUCCUUCAACUGGUUCUGUCCGGUGAGAAGUGAUCAAGCUUGGGCUGACAAGAGGCUCAGGGAGCCCUCACGUUCUUUCGCUUUUUUACCUGCCAAUCAAACUGCUACAAGACAACACCCUGAUCUGGCAUGGACAUCGCGGGUCCAAGCCUGUAGCCCCAAAUCGGAUAAUCUCUGCAGCUGAUAACAAGCAAAAGAGAAGCCAGGCAACAGCCAUAUUAAAGAAGAAAACAAUCAACUCUGAGUCAUUGCAGUCACCUGGAGUCACGGAAAUGACCAUGAUUGCCUGAACUUUCAUGACUUCUGUGGAUAACUGUGGUUGCAGAAAAGAGAAAACCUGGACCGUGAGGGACAUUUCACUCCCUGGGCUUUGGUACAUGGUACAUGUGUGGUUGGAUGUGUGUUGCCAGAAAACAGCCUGCCAUGUCUGAGGCUAUGCUCCCAGACUAGCAGCCUGGGUUACAGGGGAAGAGCUGAAGUUGGGUUGGGGAAGUUUAAUAUACUAUACUUUUAAAAUUUUUUUACUUUUGGCUAAUAUUUAUCUAUUUAUUUAUUUUUAUUUUUUGUAGAGACAGGGUUUUGCCAUGUUGCCCUGGCUGGUCUCAAACUACUGAGCUUGAGAAUCUGCUUGUCUUGGCCUCCCAAAGAGCUAGGAUUACAGGCAUGAGCCAUCGAGCCUGGCUCCUUUUAUUCUUUUCAUGACACUACCUCUUCCUAGGAGAGG
rnacentral:lncRNA from 1 species